AGCACGGGAGCAAUCCUGGUGGCGAGUGGCGAACGGGUGAGUAAUGUAUCGGAACGUACCUUUCAGUGGGGGAUAACGUAGCGAAAGUUACGCUAAUACCGCAUAUUCUGUGAGCAGGAAAGCAGGGGAUCGCAAGACCUUGCGCUGAUUGAGCGGCCGAUAUCAGAUUAGCUAGUUGGUGAGGUAAAGGCUCACCAAGGCGACGAUCUGUAGCGGGUCUGAGAGGAUGAUCCGCCACACUGGAACUGAGACACGGUCCAGACUCCUACGGGAGGCAGCAGUGGGGAAUUUUGGACAAUGGGGGCAACCCUGAUCCAGCCAUGCCGCGUGAGUGAAGAAGGCCUUCGGGUUGUAAAGCUCUUUCAGCCGGGAAGAAAUCACAUGGGUUAAUACCCUGUGUGGAUGACGGUACCGGAAUAAGAAGCACCGGCUAACUACGUGCCAGCAGCCGCGGUAAUACGUAGGGUGCGAGCGUUAAUCGGAAUUACUGGGCGUAAAGCGUGCGCAGGCGGUUUGUUAAGAUAGGCGUGAAAUCCCCGGGCUCAACCUGGGAACUGCGUUUAUGACUGGCAGGCUAGAGUAUGGCAGAGGGGGGUGGAAUUCCACGUGUAGCAGUGAAAUGCGUAGAGAUGUGGAGGAACACCGAUGGCGAAGGCAGCCCCCUGGGCCAAUACUGACGCUCAUGCACGAAAGCGUGGGUAGCAAACAGGAUUAGAUACCCUGGUAGUCCACGCCCUAAACGAUGUCAACUAGGUGUUGGGUGGGUAAAACCAUUUAGUACCGGAGCUAACGCGUGAAGUUGACCG
rnacentral:rRNA from 1 species